rnacentral:snRNA from 1 species
UCGGGUGCCUCCAUUUUGAGGGC